UACGAGGGGUGCAAGCGUUGCUCGGAAUUAUUGGGCGUAAAGGGUAGGUAGGUGGUCUUAUUUGUCUGGGGUGAAAGCCUUGAGCUUAACUCAAGAAGUGCCCCAGAAACGGUAAGACUAGAGUCUUGGAGAGGGUCGUGGAAUUCCCGGUGUAGCGGUGAAAUGCGUAGAGAUCGGGAGGAACACCAGCGGCGAAGGCGGCGACCUGGACAAGUACUGACACUCAACUACGAAAGCGUGGGGAGCAAACAGG
rnacentral:rRNA from 1 species